rnacentral:misc_RNA from 1 species
GUAGGUAAAGGUUUGCCUACAAUAUCAGUUGGCUCUACGCCAGCAACAUCUCCACUGUGCUAGAAUUUACAGCUCGUAAUACUAGCAGCUCUUCACUGAGUUCACAGAUCAAAUAGAGGUGGCCCUGCCCAGGGUUGAGAUAUGAUCGGCCAGCUGCUUAAUGGCAUCUGGCUUUUGCGGAACCUGCGGAAGGAUCAUUAAAGAGAACAUGCCCUUCGGGGUAGAUCUCCCACCCUUUGUUUACAUUACCUUUGUUGCUUUGGCAGGCCCGUCUUCGGACCACCGGCUUCAGCUGGUCAGUGCCUGCCAGAGGACCCAAAACUCUUUUAUUAAUGUCGUCUGAGUACUAUAUAAUAGUUAAAACUUUCAACAACGGAUCUCUUGGUUCUG